AGUCGCAAACUCGCGAGAGUAAGCUAAUCUCUUAAAGCCGUUCUCAGUUCGGACUGUAGGCUGCAACUCGCCUACACGAAGUCGGAAUCGCUAGUAAUCGCGGAUCAGCAUGCCGCGGUGAAUACGUUCCCGGGCCUUGUACACACCGCCCGUCACACCAUGGGAGUUUGUAACGCCCAAAGUCGGUGGCCUAACCUUUGUGGAGGGAGCCGCCUAAGGCGGGACAGAUGACUGGGGUGAAGUCGUAACAAGGUAAC
rnacentral:rRNA from 1 species